rnacentral:misc_RNA from 1 species
CGGCAUCUAAGCAGAUUUAAACUUUUUCCUUAAUUUCUUUCAAUUACAGUAGCUAUCCUCAUCAAAGAUCGCCAUUAAAUCCCUAGCUUAGAUCUUCCAUGCACCUUGCAAUUAUAUCAUUUUGCAUGUGAGCCUUCAAAUUAGUGGGCUACUCAUCCGUCCUAAAGUUUAUUUUUAGCCAAUCCAAUAACCCCGAGUGGGUGUUCAGCAGCGUUGAUAAGCCGGAAGAUAUGUUAACAG